rnacentral:lncRNA from 1 species
AUUCUUAACGUCAGGAAUAUCGGCCUUAGCAUCUUUCUUAUUAAAAAUUAGAUUCUCUUUCUCUACUUGAGAAGGUUCUUACCAGGCAUACUACUCAUCGGUUAUUUUGCCCUUUGGGAUCGAAACAACCUAUUAAGGGUUGUCGCCUACAUAACCUACCUCCGGAAGAAGGUCUCAGAUCACUGUAGUUCGAGCCCUUUUGUUAAAGCAGUUCCUGUACUUUGAAUGAAUUCAAGCUAGUAAAGUAGUCUGCUUGAAGGGGGCCCUCCUCACCUCUCCCCCUUCCCCUUAUUCCUGUAGUUUGAAUGAAUUCAAGCUAGUAAAGUAGUCUGCUUGAAAGGGGCCCUCCUCACCUCUCCCCCUUCCCCUUAUCAUAGAACCAAAAACUAACCAUGAUACAAGGGCCUGCCUCUCAGUACGUGAAAACGGAAGUGAAACUCUUUCACUGUCUUACUUUGGCCCCUCUCUAGCCAAAUCAAAAAAUUUGAACAACCCCCGAGACACCAAACAAAUUCCCUAGAACUCACGCAUAUACCAUGUCAGCCUCCACCUUCAGAUCCUUACUGUCCAUCUUUAUCAGCCAACUCCCCCGUUUCCAAAAACCUUAUCCACCACUAAG